AGGACGGGGACCCGUGCUACAUCCAAAGAAGCUGCAUCAAGAGCUGAGAGUUAGCAGCUCACCCUCAGGUGCAGAGGCAUGGAGGACCGGGGGCACUAGACCAACUGAAAGACACUCUUGGAGAG
rnacentral:lncRNA from 1 species